AUACUUUGGAUUUAAAUAAUUAGUGAUUUAUAUAUAUAUGCGGGUCAUUUUCAAAAUUGGUAGGAUUUUCUGUCCGUUCCAAAUAAGAAAAACCUCUGUUAACUUAAAAGGAUUCUUUUGUGCUAGAAAACAUAUUAAGAUGUUUACUAGUCAGUAAAUGUGGUAUAUCAUUAGUCUUUUCAUUU